rnacentral:rRNA from 1 species
CCUACGGGCGGCAGCAGUGGGGAAUAUUGGACAAUGGGGGCAACCCUGAUCCAGCCAUGCCGCGUGUGUGAAGAAGGCCCUCGGGUUGUAAAGCACUUUCAGUGAGGAAGAACGCCUGGUGGUUAAUACCCAUCAGGAAAGACAUCACUCACAGAAGAAGCACCGGCUAACUCCGUGCCAGCAGCCGCGGUAAUACGGAGGGUGGCGAGCGUUAAUCGGAAUUACUGGGCGUAAAGCGCGCGUAGGUGGCUUGAUAAGCCGGUUGUGAAAGCCCCGGGCUCAACCUGGGAACGGCAUCCGGGACUGGCAAGCUUGGGGGCAGGGAGGGGAGGUAGGAUUCCCGGGGGAGCGGGGAAAAUGGGAGGGGUCGGGAGGAAAACCAGGGGCGAAGGCGGCCUUCUGGACUGACACUGACACUGAGGUGCGAAAGCGUGGGUAGCAAACAGGAUUAGAUACCCUUGUAGUC